rnacentral:miRNA from 12 species
GCUGACAUAACUUUACUGCAGCUCUGGGUGCAUGGGGGAUCUCUUUUCUGGCGUGCAUACACAGGAGCUAAAGCACACAUGAU